AUGCACACACCUGUGCACUCACACACCUGUGCGCUCACACACCUGUGCAUUCACACACCUGUGCACUCACACACCUGUGCAUUCACACACCUGUGCAUUCACACACCUGUGCGCUCACACACCUGUGCGCUCACACACCUGUGCACUCACACACCUGUGCGCUCACACACCUGUGCACUCACACACCUGUGCAUUCACACACCUGUGCACACACACACCUGUGCAUUCACACACCUGUGCGCUCACACACCUGUGCAUUCACACACCUGUGCGCUCACACACCUGUGCGCUCACACACCUGUGCAUGCACACACCUGUGCGCUCACACACCUGUGCGCUCACACACCUGUGCGCUCACACACCUGUGCACUCACACACCUGUGCAUUCACACACCUGUGCACUCACACACCUGUGCAUUCACACACCUGUGCACACACACACCUGUGCAUUCACACACCUGUGCGCUCACACACCUGUGCACUCACACACCUGUGCAUUCACACAUCUGUGCGCUCACACACCUGUGCGCUCACACACCUGUGCACUCACACACCUGUGCAUUCACACACCUGUGCAUUCACACACCUGUGCAAUCACACACCUGUGCACUCACACACCUGUGCACACACACACCUGUGCAUUCACACACCUGUGCGCUCACACACCUGUGCACACACACACCUGUGCAUUCACACACCUGUGCGCUCACACACCUGUGCAUGCACACACCUGUGCAUUCACACACCUGUGCACUCACACACCUGUGCGCUCACACACCUGUGCGCUCACACACCUGUGCACUCACACACCUGUGCAUUCACACACCUGUGCAUUCACACACCUGUGCAUUCACACACCUGUGCAAUCACACACCUGUGCACUCACACACCUGUGCACACACACACCUGUGCAUUCACACACCUGUGCGCUCACACACCUGUGCACACACACACCUGUGCAUUCACACACCUGUGCGCUCACACACCUGUGCAUUCACACACCUGUGCGCUCACACACCUGUGCGCUCACACACCUGUGCAUGCACACACCUGUGCGCUCACACACCUGUGCGCUCACACACCUGUGCAUGCACACACCUGUGCGCUCACACACCCGUGCAUGCACACACCUGUGCACUCACACACCUGUGCGCGCACACACCUGUGCACUCACACACCUGUGCGCGCACACACCUGUGCGCUCACACACCUGUGCAUUCACACACCUGUGCACUCACACACCUGUGCACUCACACACCUGUGCAUUCACACACCUGUGCGCUCACACACCUGUGCAUUCACACACCUGUGCACUCACACACCUGUGCAUGCACACACCUGUGCAUUCACACACCUGUGCACUCACACACCUGUGCACUCACACACCUGUGCAUUCACACACCUGUGCGCUCACACACCUGUGCAUUCACACACCUGUGCAUUCACACACCUGUGCGCUCACACACCUGUGCGCUCACACACCUGUGCAUGCUCACACCUGUGCAUUCACACACCUGUGCGCUCACACACCUGUGCGCUCACACACCUGUGCAUUCACACACCUGUGCACUCACACACCUGUGCGCUCACACACCUGUGCGCUCACACACCUGUGCACACACACACCUGUGCAUUCACACACCUGUGCAUGCACACACCUGUGCACUCACACACCUGUGCGCGCACACACCUGUGCGCUCACACACCUGUGCGCUCACACACCUGUGCAUGCACACACCUGUGCGCUCACACACCUGUGCGCUCACACACCUGUGCAUUCACACACCUGUGCACUCACACACCUGUGCGCUCACACACCUGUGCAUUCACACACCUGUGCGCUCACACACCUGUGCAUGCACACACCUGUGCACUCACACACCUGUGCAUGCACACACCUGUGCAUUCACACACCUGUGCGCUCACACACCUGUGCAUUCACACACCUGUGCGCUCACACACCUGUGCACACACACACACCUGUGCAUUCACACACCUGUGCAUGCACAAACCUGUGCACGCACACACCUGUGCAUUCACACACCUGUGCACUCACACACCUGUGCAUUCACACACCUGUGCAUUCACACACCUGUGCGCUCACACACCUGUGCAUUCACACACCUGUGCACUCACACACCUGUGCACUCACACACCUGUGCAUUCACACACCUGUGCGCUCACACACCUGUGCGCUCACACACCUGUGCGCGCACACACCUGUGCAUUCACACACCUGUGCGCUCACACACCUGUGCGCGCACACACCUGUGCGCUCACACACCUGUGCAUUCACACACCUGUGCACACACACACCUGUGCACUCACACACCUGUGCAUGCACACACCUGCGCGCUCACACACCUGUGCAUGCUCACACCUGUGCACUCACACACCUGUGCGUUCACACACCUGUGCACUCACACACCUGUGCGCUCACACACCUGUGCGCUCACACACCUGUGCAUUCACACACCUGUGCACUCACACACCUGUGCGCUCACACACCUGUGCAUUCACACACCUGUGCACUCACACACCUGUGCAUGCACACACCUGUGCGCUCACACACCUGUGCGCUCACACACCUGUGCAUUCACACACCUGUGCACUCACACACCUGUGCGCUCACACACCUGUGCAUUCACACACCUGUGCACUCACACACCUGUGCACUCACACACCUGUGCAUGCACACACCUGUGCGCUCACACACCUGUGCACUCACACACCUGUGCGCUCACACACCUGUGCGCUCACACACCUGUGCAUGCACACACCUGUGCAUUCACACACCUGUGCACACACACACCUGUGCACUCACACACCUGUGCAUGCACACACCUGUGCACUCACACACCUGUGCAUGCACACACCUGUGCAUGCACACACCUGUGCAUGCUCACACCUGUGCACUCACACACCUGUGCAUUCACACACCUGUGCACUCACACACCUGUGCGCUCACACACCUGUGCACUCACACACCUGUGCAGUCACACACCUGUGCAUUCACACACCUGUGCACUCACACACCUGUGCGCUCACACACCUGUGCACUCACACACCUGUGCAUUCACACACCUGUGCACUCACACACCUGUGCGCUCACACACCUGUGCGCUCACACACCUGUGCAUGCACACACCUGUGCACUCACACACCUGUGCACUCACACACCUGUGCAUUCACACACCUGUGCACUCACACACCUGUGCACUCACACACCUGUGCAUUCACACACCUGUGCACACACACACCUGUGCGCUCACACACCUGAGCAUGCUCACACCUGUGCGCUCACACACCUGUGCUAUCACACAGCCGGGCACACACACACCUGUGCACUCACACACCUGUGCAUUCACACACCUGUGCGCUCACACACCUGUGCAUUCACACACCUGUGCAUGCACACACCUGUGCACUCACACACCUGUGCACUCACACACCUGUGCAUGCACACACCUGUGCAUUCACACACCGGUGCGCUCACACACCUGUGCAUUCACACACCUGUGCACUCACACACCUGUGCAUUCACACACCUGUGCAUGCACACACCUGGGCAUUCACACACCUGGGCAUUCACACACCUGUGCGAGCCCAUUUGUGCACACGUGUGUGUGCGUGUUCCCCUGGCCGUGCAUUUGGGUGUGA
rnacentral:lncRNA from 1 species